UACGUAGGUGGCAAACGUUAUCCGGAAUUAUUGGGCGUAAAGAGCGCGCAGGUGGUUGAUUAAGUCUGAUGUGAAAGCCCACGGCUUAACCGUGGAGGGUCAUUGGAAACUGGUCGACUUGAGUGCAGAAGAGGGAAGUGGAAUUCCAUGUGUAGCGGUGAAAUGCGUAGAGAUAUGGAGGAACACCAGUGGCGAAGGCGGCUUCCUGGUCUGUAACUGACACUGAGGCGCGAAAGCGUGGGGAUCAAACAGGAUUAGAUACCCCCGUA
rnacentral:rRNA from 1 species